rnacentral:rRNA from 1 species
UUAGGAAUCUUCCACAAUGGGCGAAAGCCUGAUGGAGCGACACCGCGUGAAGGAUGAAGGCCCUAGGGUCGUAAACUUCUAAAAGAGGGACGAUAAUGACGGUACCUCUUGAGAAGCACCGGCUAACUCCGUGCCAGCAGCCGCGGUAAUACGGAGGGUGCAAGCGUUAUCCGGAAUCACUGGGCGUAAAGGGCGCGUAGGUGGUCUGUUAAGUCUGGCGUUAAAGCCUGGGGCUCAACCCCAGAUCAGCGUUGGAUACUGGCAGGCUAGACGGUUGGAGAGGCGAGUGGAAUUACCAGUGUAGCGGUGGAGUGCGUAGAUACUGGUAGGAACACCCAUUGCGAAGGCAGCUCGCUGGACAACACGUGACGCUGAGGCGCGUAAGUGUGGGGAGCAAACCG